rnacentral:rRNA from 1 species
GAGUUUGAUCAUGGCUCAGAUUGAACGCUGGCGGAAUGCCUUACACAUGCAAGUCGAGCGGCAGCGCGGGGCAACCUGGCGGCGAGCGGCGAACGGGUGAGUAAUACAUCGGAACGUGUCCUGUCGUGGGGGAUAACCAGUCGAAAGAUUGGCUAAUACCGCAUGACCUCGUAAGAGAAAAGCGGGGGACCGUAAGGCCUCGCGCGACUGGAGCGGCCGAUGUCGGAUUAGCUAGUUGGCGGGGUAAAAGCCCACCAAGGCGACGAUCCGUAGCUGGUUUGAGAGAACGACCAGCCACACUGGGACUGAGACACGGCCCAGACUCCUACGGGAGGCAGCAGUGGGGAAUUUUGGACAAUGGGGGCAACCCUGAUCCAGCCAUGCCGCGUGUGUGAAGAAGGCCUUCGGUUG